GACGAACGCUGGCGGCGUGCUUAACACAUGCAAGUCGAACGGAAAGGCCCUGCUUUUGUGGGGUGCUCGAGUGGCGCACGGGGGAGUAACACGUGAGUAACCUGUCCUUGACUUUGGGAUAACUUCAGGAAACUGCGGCUCAUACCGGAUAGGAGCUCCUGCUGCAUGUUGGGGGUUGGAAAGUUUCGGCGGUUGGGGAUGGACUCGCGGCUUAUCAGCUUGUUUGUGGGGUAGUGGCUUACCAAGGCUUUGACGGGUAGCCGGCCUGAGAGGGUGACCGGCCACAUUGGGACUGAGAUACGGCCCAGACGCCUACGGGAGGCAGCAGUGGGGAAUAUUGCACAAUGGGCGGAAGCCUGAUGCAGCAACGCCGCGUGCGUGAUGACGGCCUUCGGGUUGUAAACCGAUUUCGCCUGUGACGAAGCGUGAGUGACGGUAAUGGGUAAAGAAGCACCGGCUAACUACGUG
rnacentral:rRNA from 1 species